CCUACUGGAGACUGCAGUGAGGAAUAUUGGUCAAUGGACGCAAGUCUGAACCAUCACCGCAUGUUUCCCUCUUCCUUCCCUCCUUUUUUUCCCCUUCUUUUCUUUUUGAAUAAAAGGGGGCUCGUGAGCCCCGUAUUGUAUGUACCAUCAGAAAAAGGACCGGCUAAUUCCGUGCCAGCAGCCGCGGUAAUACGGAAGGUCCGGGCGUUAUCCGGAUUUAUUGGGUUUAAAGGGAGCGUAGGCCGGCUUUUAAGUCAGCUGUGAAAGUCCGCGGCUCAACCGUGGAAUUGCAGUUGAAACUGGAGGCCUUGAGUGCACACAGGGAUGCCGGAAUUCAUGGUGUAGCGGUGAAAUGCUUAGAUAUCAUGAAGAACUCCGAUCGCGAAGGCAAGUGUCCGGGGUGCAACUGACGCUGAGGCUCGAAAGUGUGGGUAUCAAACAGGAUUAGAUACCCCGGUAGUC
rnacentral:rRNA from 1 species